GAUGAACGCUGGCGGCGUGCUUAACACAUGCAAGUCGAACGAAGCACUUUUACAGACUUCUUCGGAUUGAAGUGAUAGUGACUGAGUGGCGGACGGGUGAGUAACGCGUGGGUAACCUGCCUCACACAGGGGGAUAACAGUUGGAAACGGCUGCUAAUACCGCAUAAGCGCACAGUACCGCAUGGUACGGUGUGAAAAACUCCGGUGGUGUGAGAUGGACCCGCGUCUGAUUAGCUAGUUGGCAGGGUAACGGCCUACCAAGGCGACGAUCAGUAGCCGACCUGAGAGGGUGACCGGCCACAUUGGGACUGAGACACGGCCCAAACUCCUACGGGAGGCAGCAGUGGGGAAUAUUGCACAAUGGGGGAAACCCUGAUGCAGCGACGCCGCGUGAGCGAAGAAGUAUUUCGGUAUGUAAAGCUCUAUCAGCAGGGAAGAAGAAAUGACGGUACCUGACUAAGAAGCACCGGCUAAAUACGUGCCAGCCGCCGCAGUAA
rnacentral:rRNA from 1 species